rnacentral:rRNA from 1 species
GACAGAGGGUGCAAACGUUGCUCGGAAUCACUGGGCGUAAAGCGCGUGUAGGCGGGAAGGAAAGUCGGUUGUGAAAUCCCUGAGCUCAACUCAGGAACUGCAUCCGAAACUUCUUUUCUUGAGUGUCGGAGAGGGGAGUGGAAUUCCUGGUGUAGAGGUGAAAUUCGUAGAUAUCAGGAGGAACAUCAGUGGCGAAGGCGGCUCCCUGGACGACAACUGACGCUGAGACGCGAAAGCGUGGGUAGCAAACAGG